rnacentral:tRNA from 1 species
ACUGUAGUGGCCAAGCAUGGCGGGCUCUGGACCCGCUGACGAGAGUUCGAAUCUCUC